UCUCCGUUGGUGAACCAGCGGAGGGAUCAUUACCGAGUUUACAACUCCCAAACCCAAUGUGAACCAUACCAAACUGUUGCCUCGGCGGGGUCACGCCCCGGGUGCGUCGCAGCCCCGGAACCAGGCGCCCGCCGGAGGGACCAACCAAACUCUUUCUGUAGUCCCCUCGCGGACGUUAUUUUCACAGCUCUGAGCAAAAAUUCAAAAUGAAUCAAAACUUUCAACAACGGAUCUCUUGGUUCUG
rnacentral:misc_RNA from 1 species